GACCGGUCCCCGAACGCGUGAAAACUGAGCAGCUGAAAAAUCGGCUAAGUCCUGAAAAACUAGCUCUCGGGAACCGGUCCCUGCGGGGAGAGACAGGUCCCUGAGAGACCUGUAAUAUAUGGAAAUCUUGAGUUGCGAUGUCAACUUUGAUCUGGGGGAUCAAAGUGAGGAUUGAACUAGUUGGACAUCAUCCCUGAGUGAUUUGUGAUGCAUGUGAAUGAAUUCUGGAGAUAAAUAAGUGUUUCGGCGCAAAUUGGGCGCGAAACGAAAUGUAAAGAGAAUUUUUGGAUUUUCGAUGCUAACUUUGAUUAAAAGAAUUAAAGGGAGCAAAAUAAUAUAAAAUGGUGUGAGAUACCAUUUGAUUGGACUUAAUGGUGUAAAAUAUAUGUCUGGAAUGACUCGUGUUGGAAUCGGAGCGAAAACAGAAGAUUUAGAAUUUUCUGUAAAGAACGGGACUGAGAAAUUAGCAGAAAAUGCACAGUGUCAGAAAAUUAUGAAAAUUGGCGGAG
rnacentral:lncRNA from 1 species